rnacentral:rRNA from 1 species
UACGUAGGGUGCAAGCGUUGUCCGGAAUUAUUGGGCGUAAAGAGCUCGUAGGCGGUCUGUCGCGUCUGCUGUGAAAACUCAGGGCUUAACCCUGAGCUUGCAGUGGGUACGGGCAGACUAGAGUGCGGUAGGGGAGACUGGAAUUCCUGGUGUAGCGGUGAAAUGCGCAGAUAUCAGGAGGAACACCGGUGGCGAAGGCGGGUCUCUGGGCCGUAACGGACGCUGAGGCGCGAAAGCCAGGGGAGCGAACGGG